rnacentral:rRNA from 1 species
AUUGAACGCUGGCGGCAGGCUUAACACAUGCAAGUCGAGCGAGCGGCGGACGGGUGAGUAAUGUCUGGGAAACUGCCUGAUGGAGGGGGAUAACUACUGGAAAAGGUAGCUAAUACCGCAUACCAUCAGAUGUGCCCCGAUGGGAUUAGCUAGUAGGUGGGGUAAUGGCUCACCUAGGCUACGCUCCCUAGCUGGUCUGCGAGGAUGACCAGCCACACUGGAACGUGGACACGGUCCAGACUCCUACGGGAGGCAUCAGUGGGGAAUAUUGCACAAUGUGCGCAAGCCUGAUGCAGCCAUGCCGCGGGUGUGAAGAAGGCCUUCGGGUUGUAAAGCACUUUCAGCGAGGAGGCGUUACUCGCAGAAGAAGCACCGGCUAACUCCGUGCCAGCAGCCGCGGUAAUAC